rnacentral:rRNA from 1 species
CCUACGGGAGACAGCAGUGAGGACUAUUGGUCAAUGGACGCAAGUCUGAACCAGCCAUGCCGCGUGCAGGAAGACGGCCCUAUGAGUUGUAAACUGCUUUUGUACGAGGAUAAACGCAGAUACGCGUAUCUGUCUGAAAGUAUCGUACGAAUAAGGAUCGGCUAACUCCGUGCCAUCAGCCGCGGCAAGACGGAGGAUUCAAGCGUUAUCCUGAUUUAUUGGGUUUAAAGGGUGCGUAGGCGGUCGGAUAAGUUAGAGGUGAAAUCCCGAGGCUCAACGUCGGAAGUGCCUCUGAUACUGUUCGGCUAGAGAGUAGUGGCGGUAGGCGGAAUGUAUGGUGUAGCGGUGAAAUGCUUAGAGAUCAUACAGAACACCGAUUGCGAAGGCAGCUUACCAAGCUACUUCUGACGUUGAGGCACGAAAGCGUGGGGAGCAAACAGGAUUAGAUACCCGUGUAGUC